AGUAACACGUAUAGCAACCUCGCCUGUAAGAGGGGGAAUAACCCGUUGAAAGACGGACUAAUACCGCAUAAUACUAAAUUACUGCAUGGUAAUUUAUUUAAACAUUUAUGGCUUACAGAUGGGCAUGCGCAUGAUUAGCUAGUUGGAGAGGUAACGGCUCCCCAAGGCAACGAUCAUUAGGGGUUCUGAGAGGAAGGUCCCCCACACUGGUACUGAGACACGGACCAGACUCCUACGGGAGGCAGCAGUGAGGAAUAUUGGUCAAUGGACGAGAGUCUGAACCAGCCAAGUCGCGUGCAGGAAGAAUGUCCUAUUGGAUUGUAAACUGCUUUUGCAGGGGAAUAAAGUGCAUCACGUGUGAUGUUUUGUAUGUACUCUGCGAAUAAGGAUCGGCUAACUCCGUGCCAGCAGCUGC
rnacentral:rRNA from 1 species